rnacentral:rRNA from 1 species
ACCGGCGCACGGGUGAGUAAUAUAUAGGCAAUCUCCCUCUUGAUUGGGAACAACCUCGCGAAAGCAAGGCUAAUACCGAAUAAUACAACGAUUCCGCAUGGAAAUGUUGUUAAAGCCUUCGGGCGUCAAGAGAUGAGCCUUUAUCCCAUUAGAUAGUUGGCGAGGUAAUGGCUCACCAAGUCUACGAUGGGUAGCUGAUCUGAGAGGAUGAUCAGCCACACUGGAACUGAGACACGGUCCAGACUCCUACGGGAGGCAGCAGUGAGGAAUAUUGCGCAAUGUCCGAAAGGGUGACGCAGCGACGCCGCGUGAAGGAUGAAGGCCCUAUGGGUUGUAAACUUCUGUAGAGAGGAAAGAAUAUUUCGCUAUACGCGGAAUUGACGGUACCUCUAAAGUAAGGAUCGGCCAACUACGUGCCAGCAGCCGCGGUAAUACGUAGGAUCCAAGCGUUGUCCGGAUUUACUGGGUGUAAAGGGAGCGCAGGCGGACUUUCAAGUCGGUGGUGAAAUCUCGAGGCUCAACCUCGAAACUGCCUCCGAUACUGUUAGUCUUGAAUCUAGAAGAGGGCGAUGGAAUUCAUGGUGUAGCAGUGAAAUGCGUAGAUAUCAUGAAGAACACCAGCGGCGAAGGCGGUCGCCUAGUCUAGUAUUAACGCUCAGGCUCGAAAGUGUGGGUAGCAAACAGGAUUAGAUACCCUGGUAGUCCACACCCUAAACGAUGAAUACUCGAUGUUGGAAUUUUUUCAGCAUCUGAGCUAACGCAUUAAGUAUUCCACCUGGGGAGUACGAUCGCAAGGUUGAAACUCAAAGGAAUUGACGGGGGCCCGCACAAGCAGUGGAGCAUGUGGUUUAAUUCGAUGCAACGCGAAGAACCUUACCAGGGCUUGAAAUG